UCACAUGCCUUUAAUCUCAGGACUCAUGAAAGGUAUUUAAGAUAGGGACGGGUCUCACAGCUGGCAUUCAUUCUCCAGCCACAUUUGAGGAUAGGAAGGCAUUCAGUCUCAGGUGUCUCUAGCCACGUUUUUGAGAAGAACGUAGCACUCUGAAUGAGUCUGAGGAGCAGUGAGGUCGGGAGCAGUCUGAAGAUGGACCCUUUGAUCUGAGCUGAGGUAGAGAGCAGUUAUUCCUCCUGACAGCAGCAAAAAUGAUGUAGGCAGUCUCUCCGCCAGCAAACUAAUGUGGAAACCACAGAUAAGGUCAUAAGUGGGAGAAGGGUUAAACACUAAAGAAGCUAGGCUAAUGGGUUAACCACCGAGGAUCCUGUGAGUCUGUCACAGAGAACGAGAACUCUGGGAGGCUUCUGAACCGGAAAUUAAAUGCUCCAACCAAUGGGACACACAUUCCUCAACUUCUAAUUCAUUGUAACUAUUCAUCACAAGGAGCUCAGACAUCCAAGUCCUGUAUGUGCCUGACCUAGGGCUGGAGUAUUUGGCAGAGUGUUGGAAAACAGAAAAUUUUAAGCACUAAAGAAUUGAGGACAGAUUAGGGUAAGCAGGUAGUUGAAUUAUCAGUUAAAUAAACAAGAGAUUAGUAAUAAGUAACCAUUGAUCCUUCCAUAUAAUUUGAAUCAUAUUUGUAUUGUGAAUUUGUUUUAUAAAUAUGUUUUACAUACGUUCUAUUUACAAAAUACCAUACUUUCAGGACAUGACUUUGAAGAAUCCAUACACCGGCUGUUUGAAGACAUUUAUAUCUAUUUGGAGAUAUGGGUAUUCAAAAUACAUAGGGCAGGGAAUAAAAAGUGGAUGGUGAUGAGCAGUGUUCAAUCACAGCAACAAGGGAAUAGCUAGAAGCAUAAUGUUAUACGUCUCACAGAUAUACUUAAAAAUGCCCCUUAAUCUGAGUCAUAAAAGGAGUAGAUUAAGAAAGACAAAUAUUGCAUUGUUGUUUUUAAGUCCACUUUUAAUUUUCCAUUCAAGAAAUUUCUAUUUAAAUUUUUGUGGUUAGGAAAAUAAUUGUAAACUGAGAGCUAAUAUCAUUCAUUCUCCUUGAGGUUAGCAACUUGCUUUUUUGGUAUUCUGUACAAUCAGCUCCUAGCUAAUGAGGAUUUAUGGUGAUAAUUAUAAUAAAUUGUUCUUUUAAUGCCUCUUACAGCUUGUAAAACAAGUUUACACAUACUAUUAAUGUUAUUUCUUCAAUAUGGCUGGAUGUAAGACUAGUUAAGGGGACUUAGAAAAUAUUAUCAUGUAAUAGAUCAAUAAAUU